rnacentral:rRNA from 1 species
UAGGGAAUCUUCCGCAAUGGACGAAAGUCUGACGGAGCAACGCCGCGUGAGUGAAGAAGGAUUUCGGUUCGUAAAACUCUGUUGUUAGGGAAGAAAAAAUGUAUAGUAACUAUAUACAAAAGAGACGGUACCUAACCAGAAAGCCACGGCUAACUACGUGCCAGCAGCCGCGGUAAUACGUAGGUGGCAAGCGUUGUCCGGAAUUAUUGGGCGUAAAGCGCGCGCAGGUGGUUUAGAAAGUCUGAUGUGAAAGCCCACGGCUUAACCGUGGAGGGUCAUUGGAAACUAAUAAACUUGAGUGCAGGAGAGAAAAGUGGAAUUCCUAGUGUAGCGGUGAAAUGCGUAGAGAUUAGGAGGAACACCGGUGGCGAAAGCGGCUUUUUGGCCUGCAACUGACACUGAGGCGCGAAAGCGUGGGGAGCAAACAGG